UACGUAGGGUGCAAGCGUUGUCCGGAAUCAUUGGGCGUAAAGAGCGUGUAGGCGGCUCGGUAAGUCCGCUGUAAAAGUCAAAGGCUCAACCUUUGAAUGUCAGUGGAUACUGCCGGGCUAGAGUCAGGAAGAGGCGAGUGGAACUCCUGGUGUAGCGGUGAAAUGCGUAGAUAUCGUAAGGAAGACCAGUGGCGAAGGCGGGUCUCUGGACAGUUCCUGACGCUGAGGCACGAAGGUCAGGGGAGCAAACGGG
rnacentral:rRNA from 1 species